GAUGAACGCUGGCGGCGUGCCUAAUACAUGCAAGUCGAGCGAACGGACGAGAAGCUUGCUUCUCUGAUGUUAGCGGCGGACGGGUGAGUAACACGUGGAUAACCUACCUAUAAGACUGGGAUAACUUCGGGAAACCGGAGCUAAUACCGGAUAAUAUUUUGAACCGCAUGGUUCAAAAGUGAAAGACGGUCUUGCUGUCACUUAUAGAUGGAUCCGCGCUGCAUUAGCUAGUUGGUAAGGUAACGGCUUACCAAGGCAACGAUGCAUAGCCGACCUGAGAGGGUGAUCGGCCACACUGGAACUGAGACACGGUCCAGACUCCUACGGGAGGCAGCAGUAGGGAAUCUUCCGCAAUGGGCGAAAGCCUGACGGAGCAACGCCGCGUGAGUGAUGAAGGUCUUCGGAUCGUAAAACUCUGUUAUUAGGGAAGAACAUACGUGUAAGUAACUGUGCACAUCUUGACGGUACCUAAUCAGAAAGCCACGGCUAACUACGUGCCAGCAGCCGCGGUAAUACGUAGGUGGCAAGCGUUAUCCGGAAUUAUUGGGCGUAAAGCGCGCGUAGGCGGUUUUUUAAGUCUGAUGUGAAAGCCCACGGCUCAACCGUGGAGGGUCAUUGGAAACUGGAAAACUUGAGUGCAGAAGAGGAAAGUGGAAUUCCAUGUGUAGCGGUGAAAUGCGCAGAGAUAUGGAGGAACACCAGUGGCGAAGGCGACUUUCUGGUCUGUAACUGACGCUGAUGUGCGAAAGCGUGGGGAUCGAACAGGAUUAGAUACCCUGGUAGUCCACGCCGUAAACGAUGAGUGCUAAGUGUUAGGGGGUUUCCGCCCCUUAGUGCUGCAGCUAACGCAUUAAGCACUCCGCCUGGGGAGUACGACCGCAAGGUUGAAACUCAAAGGAAUUGACGGGGACCCGCACAAGCGGUGGAGCAUGUGGUUUAAUUCGAAGCAACGCGAAGAACCUUACCAAAUCUUGACAUCCUUUGACAACUCUAGAGAUAGAGCCUUCCCCUUCGGGGGACAAAGUGACAGGUGGUGCAUGGUUGUCGUCAGCUCGUGUCGUGAGAUGUUGGGUUAAGUCCCGCAACGAGCGCAACCCUUAAGCUUAGUUGCCAUCAUUAAGUUGGGCACUCUAAGUUGACUGCCGGUGACAAACCGGAGGAAGGUGGGGAUGACGUCAAAUCAUCAUGCCCCUUAUGAUUUGGGCUACACACGUGCUACAAUGGACAAUACAAAGGGCAGCGAAACCGCGAGGUCAAGCAAAUCCCAUAAAGUUGUUCUCAGUUCGGAUUGUAGUCUGCAACUCGACUACAUGAAGCUGGAAUCGCUGGUAAUCGUAGAUCAGCAUGCUACGGUGAAUACGUUCCCGGGUCU
rnacentral:rRNA from 1 species